rnacentral:rRNA from 1 species
GAUCAAGUGUCAAAAGGGCAAUUGGUGGAUGCCUUGGCAUGCACAGGCGAUGAAGGACGUGAUACGCUGCGAUAAGCCGUGGGGAGCUGCGAAUAGGCUUUGAUCCAUGGAUCUCCGAAUGGGGGAACCCACCUUUGAUCCUUGGGAAAUCGGACUGGUUUUGUCCUCACGGACGUACCGCAGGCCUUCGGGCCUGCUGUCCUGCGGACGGCGCGCGCCAAACGUGGCGCGGCGGGCCUUGCCCGCUCCGGACGUUUUGUCCGGGUGGCGUCUUGUCGUGAGACGUAGAACCGGUGCGGUUUCCAAGGAUCGUUAAGAAGGUAUCUUAUUCUGAAUACAUAGGGAUAAGAAGCGAACGCAGGGAACUGAAACAUCUAAGUACCUGCAGGAAAGGACAUCAACCGAGACUCCGUUAGUAGUGGCGAGCGAACGCGGACCAGGCCAGUGGCUGAUGAUUGACAAGCGGAACCGUCUGGAAAGUCGGGCCAUAGUGGGUGACAGCCCCGUACGCGUAAUUUGGUUAUCAGUCCUUGAGUAGGGCGGGACACGUGAAAUCCUGUCUGAACAUGGGGGGACCACCCUCCAAGCCUAAGUACUCGUGCAUGACCGAUAGCGAACCAGUACCG